GUCGAGGAUCUUUUGCAAUGGGCGCAAGCCUGACAAAGCGACGCUGCGUGGAGGAUGAAGGCCUUCGGGUUGUAAACUCCUGUCAUUCGGGAACAAUAACGUGGAAGCUAAUACCUUCUGCGAAUGAUGGUACCGGAAGAGGAAGCCACGGCUAACUCUGUGCCAGCAGCCGCGGUAAUACAGAGGUGGCGAGCGUUGUUCGGAUUUACUGGGCGUAAAGGGUGCGUAGGUGGCUUCGUAUGUCGGGUGUGAAAUCCCACGGCUCAACUGUGGAACUGCGCCCGAAACUGCGGGGCUAGAGUGCAGGAAGGGAGAGUGGAAUUCUUGGUGUAGCGGUGAAAUGCGUUGAUAUCAAGAGGAACACCGGCGGCGAAGGCGGCUCUCUGGAAUGCAACUGACACUGAGGCACGAAAGCUGGGGGAGCAAACAGGAUUAGAAACCCCAGUAGUCC
rnacentral:rRNA from 1 species